AUUGAACGCUGGCGGCAUGCCUUACACAUGCAAGUCGAACGGUAACAGGUCUUCGGAUGCUGACGAGUGGCGAACGGGUGAGUAAUACAUCGGAACGUGCCCGAUCGUGGGGGAUAACGGAGCGAAAGCUUUGCUAAUACCGCAUACGAUCUACGGAUGAAAGCAGGGGACCGCAAGGCCUUGCGCGAACGGAGCGGCCGGUGGCAGAUUAGGUAGUUGGUGGGAUAAAAGCUUACCAAGCCGACGAUCUGUAGCUGGUCUGAGAGGACGACCAGCCACACUGGGACUGAGACACGGCCCAGACUCCUACGGGAGGCAGCAGUGGGGAAUUUUGGACAAUGGGCGCAAGCCUGAUCCAGCAAUGCCGCGUGCAGGAUGAAGGCCUUCGGGUUGUAAACUGCUUUUGUACGGAACGAAAAGGCUCUGGUUAAUACCUGGGGCUCAUGACGGUACCGUAAGAAUAAGCACCGGCUAACUACGUGCCAGCAGCCGCCGUAAGAC
rnacentral:rRNA from 1 species